rnacentral:rRNA from 1 species
UACGUAGGGCGCAAGCGUUGUCCGGAAUUAUUGGGCGUAAAGAGCUCGUAGGCGGCUUGUCACGUCGGGUGUGAAAGCCCGGGGCUUAACCCCGGGUCUGCAUUCGAUACGGGCUGGCUAGAGUGUGGUAGGGGAGAUCGGAAUUCCUGGUGUAGCGGUGAAAUGCGCAGAUAUCAGGAGGAACACCGGUGGCGAAGGCGGAUCUCUGGGCAUUACCUGACGCUGAGGAGCGAAA